rnacentral:rRNA from 1 species
CAGCAGCCACGGGAAUACGAAGGGGGCUAGCGUUGUUCGGAAUUACUGGGCGUAAAGCGCACGUAGGCGGACAUUUAAGUCAGGGGUGAAAUCCCGGGGCUCAACCCCGGAACUGCCUUUGAUACUGGGUGUCUAGAGUAUGGAAGAGGUGAGUGGAAUUCCGAGUGUAGAGGUGAAAUUCGUAGAUAUUCGGAGGAACACCAGUGGCGAAGGCGGCUUACUGGUCCAUUACUGACGCUGAGGUGCGAAAGCGUGGGGAGCAAACAGGAUUAGAUACCCCCGUAGUCCCUGUCUCUUAUAC